UACGAAGGGGGCUAGCGUUGCUCGGAAUCACUGGGCGUAAAGCGCACGUAGGCGGGUUGCUAAGUCGGGGGUGAAAUCCUGGAGCUCAACUCCAGAACUGCCUUCGAUACUGGUGGCCUUGAGUCCGGGAGAGGUGAGUGGAACUCCGAGUGUAGAGGUGAAAUUCGUAGAUAUUCGGAAGAACACCAGUGGCGAAGGCGGCUCACUGGCCCGGUACUGACGCUGAGGUGCGAAAGCGUGGGGAGCAAACAGG
rnacentral:rRNA from 1 species